rnacentral:rRNA from 1 species
UACAGAGGUGGCAAGCGUUGUUCGGAAUUACUGGGCGUAAAGGGCGCGUAGGCGGUCUUGUCAGUCCCUUGUGAAAUCCCCCCGGCUCAACUGGGGAACUGCACGGGGAAACAGCAGGGCUUGAGUUCGGGAGAGGGAAGCGGAAUUCCGGGUGGUAGCGGUGAAAUGCGUAGAUAUCCGGAGGAACACCGGUGGCGAAGGCGGCUCACUGGCCCGGUACUGACGCCUGAGGUGCGAAAGCGGUGGGGAGCAAAACAGG